rnacentral:lncRNA from 1 species
GUUGCCUUCUACAUUCCUCUGCUGACAGUGAAGAGGUCAUGCUAAAUCAAACUGACGGAGAAACUGGACAUCAGCUUAGCCAGGAUGCCCAAAUUAAUACUACUGAAACAAAAGGUGCAUAAGAACCAAGUUGGAGAAAAACUGGCUUUGGAAACACUAGCAGAGUAAGACAAUAUCUUUUCCUUUCAUGUCUUGUCCUUCAUGGAAUAAUGUCAACCACUUACAGAAGUGUCUGGUAAUUCUUGUUGACUGUAUCAGGACAGAUCUC